CCAAAAAUUUAAAGGUAAGUAAACAACUUGUCUGAAAUAAUCAUGUUUUUUUCAUUGUUUCUGUCUGAUAAUAAUGCAGGUUGAAAACUUUCACUGUAUUAUGACUGAUCCCUGAUAAUCAGUGUUUAGUGAAUAUGACUGUAUAUCUAAAAGACACUAAUACCACUUUGUUACCUCUCUUUUAAUCCACACUGUGAGGAAAGCCAAAACUUUAAAGCCAAAACUUUAAAGAGAACUACCUGAUGACCUCCUGAAGAACAGCAAUGAGUUCAUACGACUUUAUGAAGAACUUCAGCCUGAACUCGAACAGAUUAUCAACCAGAUGUUAAUAUGGACUGAUGAGGUUUUAGAGGAUUUUAGCAAUGCAGCUAAAAUGUGUAGAGGAAGGAGUAUAGCUGCAGCAGUAGGAGCUGGACUUGGAGUAGGAGUAGGAGUUUAGGCUAUAGGUGCGUUUCUGGCUGCCAUCUCUGGUGCUUUAGACUGGUAUGCCAGUACACUGGCUUCAGAGAUUAUGGUGAUAAAGCUCCCCUACUGCACUUAACAACUGCAGGUGUAUUAACAGUGUUUCCAGGUGACAAAAACAAACAGAAGAAACUUUUAAUGGAAGCAGAGACAACUCUGGAACAAUCCAGCACAGUGGCUGAUAGUCUUCAUCCCCCUGAACAACAUCUGUAAGCAUGUUGAGAAGAUGCUGCAGUAUCACAAUGAUGAAGCUGUCAGAAAGAGUGCAGGAGAUUUAUCAGAGCUUGUUCUGCAGUUUCCCCCUGGGAUCAAUAAACAAAUCUGAAUCUGAA